GCAAUUGGAAUGCGCACAGGGGUGUUACACCCGGGGACAGUUACUAGUUGGUACCCUCAGGGAGUGAGCUGGUACUGUAGUGACUGAGCCUGCAUCCAGAGCAGAAACAGGAGGAGGAGGAGGAGAAGAGGGAUGGUCUGAUGCUAAUAAGCCUGAGCCAAGGCCAGCAUGAGACAGCGAAUUCACAGGCAGGGAUAUGCAGUACUCAAUGUGAGCAUCCAUCCUGCUGUAACAAGGACUUAAAGCUCAUCUCUUGCCUCUGUCUGCAUCCCCACCCCACCCAUUUCAACCCCUGGAGCACCCUAUAUGAGAGGAGGAAGAUUUUGUGAUGCCCCCAAAAAAGAGAGUCACCAAAGAGAAAAAAGAUCUGAAGAAGCCAGAGAGUGUGGCAUCAGCAGUAACUAGCAGCAGCCAGGAUAAAUCAGCCAAAUCUCACGAGAAACAAGGUCGAGUUGUGCCAACAUCAAAGGUUCAAAGUCGACGCCUUAAAGAGCAAGUGACAGAACCAGUACGCGUUUCGCAGCCCACUGCUGCUGUUUCUGAGGCCGUAGUGCCCGAAAGACCUCAGGAACCAACAAUGUCUGACAAAAGUGAUUUGAAAGCUGAACUUGAACGCAAAAAGCAGCGUUUGGCACAAAUCAGAGAGGAAAAGAAACGAAAGGAGGAGGAAAGAAAAAAGAAAGAGGCUGAACUGCAGCACAAAGCUGAACCUAUUGCAGAAGAUAGUGAUCUGGACCGGAAAAGAAGAGAGACUGAGGCAUUACUGCAGAGUAUUGGCAUAUCUCCAGAACCACCACUAGUGCAGCCAUUUUUAACAUUGGAUACCUGUUAUUUUCAUUAUUUAGUCCCAACCCCUAUGUCUCCCUCUUCGAAAUCACUGAGCACCCCAAGCGAGGCUGGCAGUCAGGACUCGGUAGAUGGCACCCUAAUGGGACGGAAUCUGCAGAGUGGCCUACUUGGGACUCUGCAGUGGGACACCGAUCCUUCAGUACUGCAGCUUCACUCGGACUCAGAACUCGGAAGAAGACUUAUUAAGCUUGGAGUAUCUAAAGUCACUCAAGUGGAUUUCUUGCCUCGGGAAGUAGUGUCGUACUCAAAGGAGACACAAACUCCAGUGACAACCCACCAGACUGAAGCAGUGGAAGAAGAGGAUGAGGAAAUGGUGGAUCUUAAAACAGAACGUGAUUCUGAAUAUGAAAAUCAAGAGGAGAAGCAAGACUCCAAAGAAGUACCUCCCAGAGAACUGACGGAGGAGGAGAAACAACAAGUUACCCAUUCAGAAGAAUUCCUGAUCUUUUUUGACCGUACCAUUCGUGUGAUUGAGCGGGCGCUGGCAGAGGACUCAAAUAUAUUCUUUGAUUACAGUGGAAGAGACCUGGAGGAUAAAGAGGGGGACAUUCAGGCUGGAGCCAAUCUUUCAUUUAAUCGGCAAUUUUAUGACGAGCAUUGGUCAAAGCAUCGUGUGGUUACUUGCCUCGACUGGUCUCUUCAGUACCCAGAGCUGAUGGUUGCUUCCUACAAUAAUAAUGAAGAUGCCCCUCAUGAGCCCGAUGGAGUUGCAUUAGUGUGGAACAUGAAAUUCAGGAAGACCACUCCAGAGUAUAUAUUCCAUUGUCAGUCCUCUGUGAUGUCCGUGUGCUUUGCGCGAUUUCAUCCGAACCUUGUCAUUGGUGGUACCUACUCAGGGCAGAUUGUUCUUUGGGAUAACAGGAGCCACAGGAGAACCCCCGUUCAAAGGACACCGCUGUCUGCCGCAGCUCACACUCACCCCAUCUACUGUGUUAAUGUAGUUGGAACACAAAAUGCCCACAACCUUAUCACUGUUUCAACCGAUGGGAAAUUGUGCUCCUGGAGUUUGGAUAUGCUCUCAGCUCCGCAGGAAAGCAUGGAACUUGUCUACAAUAAAUCCAAACCUGUAGCUGUGACUGGGAUGGCUUUUCCAACUGGAGAUGUUAACAAUUUUGUUGUUGGAAGUGAGGAAGGCACAGUUUAUACAGCCUGCAGACAUGGAAGCAAAGCCGGCAUCAGUGAAGUCUUUGAUGGUCACCAGGGGCCUGUCACCGGAAUCAAUUGCCACAAUGCAGUGGGACCUAUAGACUUCUCCCAUCUUUUCCUUACAUCCUCAUUUGACUGGACAGUCAAACUCUGGACAACAAAGCACAACAAGCCGCUCUACUCCUUUGAAGACAAUGCAGACUAUGUCUAUGACGUCACGUGGUCACCCGUGCAUCCCGCGCUCUUCGCCUGUGUGGAUGGGAUGGGGCGCUUGGAUCUCUGGAACCUCAAUAAUGACACGGAGGUUCCGACGGCAAGUACGGCUGUGGAAGGAGCCUCUGCGCUGAAUCGUGUUCGCUGGGCUCAGAGCGGCAAAGAGGUGGCAGUUGGGGAUUCAGAAGGUCGAGUCUGGAUCUACGAUGUGGGAGAGAUUUGAACAUUACUGAGCCCAUUUCUUCAGGCCAAUUUACCAGCAUCACCAUAAUUGUACAGUUUGCUAUUCCACAUAACGAUGAGUGGAGCCGAUUUGCCCGCACAUUAGUCGAGAUCCGAGCCAACCGAGGAGAAGGAGAGGAAGAGGCUGUGGAUCUGUCCACCUGAAGGGAGGAGACUCAGGCUUGGCAAGCACAAUAUUUCCUGCUGUUCAGUGUCCUCUAUUUUGGUGUGGCUUUCUGAAGUGAACGUCCUGCUUAUAUCACAGAUUUCUCUUCCGGCAGUGAUAUUCCUGUUUCCUACUUAAUUUCUAAUCUAAGCCAAGGAGUGCAGACUUGGUAUCAUCCCCCCUCUGGUCCAAAGUUGUAGCAAGACUUUAUUUAAAAAUUUCAAAAAUUGCCAUCUCCUAGAUGAAAAAGAAGUAGCGCGAGGCGCAUUAAGAUUUUUGUUUUUCACAAACGAACCCUAUGCUAGGUCUCUGAACUUCUGUAUAAGAUAUUGGACCCUUCAAAACAUGGAUUGGAUUUGUCCAGAAGAGUUUUCCAAAUGAUUAAAGUGACUGAGCAUAAAAUAUGUUGCACAGACAACUAAUAACUAAUAGCGUUUUUCUGAGGAUGAUUUCAGAACCAAUACUUCAGCUGGUUGCUUCUCCACAUCUUCUGCAACACCACCAUUAAGGCCAGAGGAAAGGGAAGUAUUAUUUAGUUUGGUAUUAUAAGCAUAACAUGGCAGCAUCAUGGGAUUGUCUCAAAUGGCUCUGAAGAUGAGCACGUGCGGAUGCUGACUGGACAUUCCCCUCUCCUGACAUCUUUGUGACAAUGGUCAAAAGGCAUCAAGAGCUCUAGGAAGAGAGAAGGAAAGGGGGUUGUAUAAGAGGCUAAAUUUGAGGCUUGUUAUUGUUUGUAAAGAAAAAAAUAGAAAAUGAAGGUAAAAUGUAGAUACACAGACAUCUGUUGGACUCGUAGGUUGUCCAUCUGUAAAUGUACUACACUUCAUUGUGAUGGACACAAGGAGAUUAGAAAUGUCUGCAGAAGAUAUGACAGUGUCAGUUGGGUGCCCACAAUGUAAUUCUAUAUAAUGUGAUGGUUCUAUUCUAUAAAUGCAUACCGAGAAUACUUCUUCUAAGGUAAGGAACACAAUGUUCCACAUGCAUAUAUACAAAUGUGUAUAAUUAGAAUGUUCUUUGCAUACAGUAUUCUGUGCCCUUAUACUGAAAGGUGACAUGCCUUUAAACAGACAGAGAUUAGGAGAAAUAGGUUUGCUCCUUUGUCUAAAACUGCUGUGCAUUACACAUUUUAUACAGCAGGCCUAUGGAGAUACAUCAGCUGAGGACCUCAUCAACACAAUUAUGUGCUCCUCAUUUGAGGAAAUUUCCAUAGUCAAGUUUUACCAAGUUAUUGGUUGGACAGAUCCUCCUGAGGGUCCCUUAAAGGAGAAUUCAACACUAAACUUAAAAAUCCCCUACCCCCUACCCUAUGUAGACCCCCUCCUUCCUCCCCCAGCCUAAGUGUUACCCGGGCAAAUGCCCCUAACCUUUUACUUACCCUCAGUGCAGAUGCAGGCAUCGGAGUUCUUUGUAAUGGGAACAGUGCUUCUGCAAUUUUCGUGUUUUGGCGCAUUUGCAGUUGUCGCGAACCAGAAAAUUGCUCCAACUGCACAUGCGCAGACAUGCCAGUCUCUUUCCGAAGAUUUCCCAAGAGAAGAAGAUGGUGCCUGUGAACUCUGAUGCCUGCAUCUGCACCGAGGGGUAAGUAAAACGUUAGGGGCAUUUGCCUGGGGUAACA